CGGGAUGUAGCUCAGUUGGUAGAGUACAUGGCUGGGGGUCAUGUGGUCGCAGGUUCAAGUCCUGUCAUCCCGACCA
rnacentral:tRNA from 3 species